AUGAACGCUGGCGGCGUGCCUAAUACAUGCAAGUCGAGCGAACGGACGAGAAGCUUGCUUCUCUGAUGUUAGCGGCGGACGGGUGAGUAACACGUGGAUAACCUAUCUAUAAGACUGGGAUAACUUCGGGAAACCGGAGCUAAUACCGGAUAAUAUUUUGAACCGCAUGGUUCAAAAGUGAAAGACGGUCUUGCUGUCACUUAUAGAUGGAUCCGCGCUGCAUUAGCUAGUUGGUAAGGUAACGGCUUACCAAGGCAACGAUGCAUAGCCGACCUGAGAGGGUGAUCGGCCACACUGGAACUGAGACACGGUCCAGACUCCUACGGGAGGCAGCAGUAGGGAAUCUUCCGCAAUGGGCGAAAGCCUGACGGAGCAACGCCGCGUGAGUGAUGAAGGUCUUCGGAUCGUAAAACUCUGUUAUUAGGGAAGAACAUAUGUGUAAGUAACUGUGCACAUCUUGACGGUACCUAAUCAGAAAGCCACGGCUAACUACGUG
rnacentral:rRNA from 1 species